rnacentral:rRNA from 1 species
AAAAUUUGUUAUUAAUUUGAUUUAUAUGUAAAUUUUUGUGUGAAUUUGUAAUAAUUUUAAAAAUUAUUGUAAUAUCUAUAACCGCAGUAAUUAAUUUUAUUGAUUAAAGAAAUUUAGAAAUAGCAAUAUUAAAAAGUAUAGAUAAAAUUGGUGCCAGCAAUCGCGGUUAUACCAAUUAUACAAAUGAAUUUUUUUAGUAAAAGUUAAAUUGAAUUAUAUAUGUAAAUAAAAUUAAAUUUAUUAAGUGAAAUUUUAAAUUUAAAUUUUUAUUAUUAAAAUAAUUGAAGCUUAAAAAUUUUAAUAAA